CCUACGGGUGGCAGCAGUGAGGAAUAUUGGUCAAUGGCCGGAAGGCUGAACCAGCCAAGCCGCGUGAAGGACGAAGGUGCUAAGCAUUGUAAACUUCUUUUGUCAAGGGACAAAAUCAGGCUCGAGAGCCUGACCGCGGGUACUUGAAGAAAAAGCAUCGGCUAACUCCGUGCCAGCAGCCGCGGUAAUACGGAGGGCGCGAGCGUUAUCCGGAUUUAUUGGGUUUAAAGGGUGCGUAGGCGGGCUGUUAAGUCAGCGGUAAAAGCCCGGGGCUCAACCGUAAAAUUGCAAUUGAUACUGGCAGUCUGGAGUACAGGUGAGGGAGGCGGAAUUCGUGGUGUAGCGGUGAAAUGCUUAGAUAUCACGAAGAACUCCGAUUGCGAAGGCAGCUUACUAAACUGCCACUGACAUGGAUGCUCGAAAGUGUGGGUAUCAAACAGGAUUAGAUACCCUUGUAGUC
rnacentral:rRNA from 1 species